GAUGAACGCUGGCGGCGUGCCUAAUACAUGCAAGUCGAGCGAACGGACGAGAAGCUUGCUUCUCUGAUGUUAGCGGCGGACGGGUGAGUAACACGUGGAUAACCUACCUAUAAGACUGGGAUAACUUCGGGAAACCGGAGCUAAUACCGGAUAAUAUUUUGAACAGCAUGGUUCAAACGUGAAAGAGGGUCUUGCUGUCACUUAUAGAUGGAUCCGCGCUGCAUUAGCUAGUUGGUAAGGUAACGGCUUACCAAGGCAACGAUGCAUAGCCGACCUGCGAGGGUGAUCGGCCACACUGGAACUGAGACACGGUCCAGACUCCUACGGGAGGCAGCAGUAGGGAAUCUUCCGCAAUGGGAGAAAGCCUGACGGAGCAACGCCGCGUGAGUGCUGAAGGUCUUCGGAUCGUAAAACUCUGUUAUUAGGGAAGAACAUAUGUGUAAGUAACUGUGCACAUCUUGACGGUACCUAAUCAGAAAGCCACGGCUAACUACGUG
rnacentral:rRNA from 1 species